GGCGGGCACCUGGGGACCCUCCGUUCCCACUCUCCCCAGCCCGGUGCUACAUACACAGACAUUCACGCUCUGCUCACACAGGGCCCUGACCGGUCCAUCCCCCGGCUGGCUGACUCCCACGGGGACAGCAGGACAGCUGCCCUUGAGGGAGCAGAGGGCCCCCUGCCCACUGAGGUCCUCCCCCUGAUGGAUGGAAGCAGCCACCGCCCUGCAGAACCUCCCGGGUCUCCCCUUGACUUAUGGGCACACGGAGGGGCUGUCUUGCCUUUGCUCAGCAAUCUCCUGCUCUCCUGAGCCCACUGCCCGGCAACAGUGUCCCCAACAUGUUACUGAGUCCAGACUCGUCCUGCUCACCGCACGACAGGCCAGUAAAUCGGGAGAUGAGGUGUUGGGGCAAGGCAGAGCGACUUUGUUCAGAAAGCCGGCAGACCAGGAGGAUGGCAGGCUAAUGUCUUGGAGAAUCAUCCUGCUCCAGUCAGAACAAACGCUCCUUUCAUACAAAAAAAAAAAAAAAAAACAAAAAAAAAAAAACCCAAAACCAGGAGAGGGGGUGUGGUUGGUUGCUGCAAACUUCUUAGGGCGGGAAAUCUUUGCUCCUGCAGCUGUCCAGGUGGGCCCGCUCAUGCUGCUCCUGCAAAACAUCCAAGAAAAGGCAUGUUAUUCUCUGUCCUGCAACUUUGUUAUCUUUCCAUGAGUAAGAGCUAGUGAGACCAAGCCUAGAAGACAGGGCACAGGGUUAAAGCCAAAGGAACAGGUCUAGCAUGGAGUCAGAUUCGUUCUUUUCUAUUGCAAAUGGCCCCCUGAGGUUGGCGGCCUUCGGGGAGCCGGGAGGACGGUGUGCAGCAGGGGCUUGCGUUUGUCACCCCAGGCACAGGCGGCCGUGAACCCUCCAGCGAGGCGCUGCUCUGGGACUCCGCCGAGUGGCCCGAGACGGUGAAACGCCUCGGGAAAGUCGAGGAGGCGCACUGGAACUUAGGGUGCCUUCCUGACGGAGCGAACAGGACCCGGAAAGCCUGUGACUCUGGCCGUGUUUGUUUCGUGUUCCAGGUCACGUGGUUUCUGCAUCUCAGCCCCACCACCCGUGGGCAACCUCGCCUCCACGAGACCCGCUGGGGAUGGCCAUUUCCCGUCUCCAUCCUGAUCUGCUCAGACCGGGCCUCCAGACCAGCGGCAGGGCAGAGAGUGAGACUCGCACAUGCCAGGUCUGAGAACGGUCGUCCCACUACUGGGCUGUGUAAGCUGGACGCUGUGCCCACUGAGUCUGAAUUUGCUCAUCUAGUUGCUGAAGACACUCAGCAGAUCUCUUUCUGCCGCAGCUACAAAAGCAAAGCCAACGAGACAGAGGCAUUGGAGACGUUGCGACCGCAAGGCUCAGAAGCCGUUCCCUCUUUGCCGAAGGUCAGGACAGCCCUGAGUUGGACACGCAGAAGUUUGGUUCCGAGAUGUCAAACAAGGUGUAACCCCUGUCCAGGUGGCAGGUGGCCCGGCCCCAGCAGGCCCCCGGGGAAGGGGUGGAACCCAGCAGGAGGGGUCAGGUGGAGGCGGGGAGGGGCGUGUCCAGCUGAUGGAGAAACCAGAGACGCCUGUAGCCCGUGCAGCGGUGUCCUCACCUAUGAAUCACCAGUGAGAACCUCGUGAAUGCUUUGCAAACUUUUUUUACCAUUGUGGUUUUUAAAAUUUUUUAUUUAUUAUUAUUACUUUUUGUUAAUAGAGGUAUUGGGGAAUCGAACCCAGGACCUCGUGCAUGCUGAGCACACACACUUUACCACUAAGCUAUCCCCACCCACCACCAGCUUUUUAAGUGGGAUCUUUCGUUCAACCAGACUGAUACACAAAGAACCCCGACGUUGCCAGAGGACGUCCCGGCUCACAGGAGGCUACGGUGGGCAUGUAAUGGUUGUCACACGUCCCUUUACAGAACUGGGGGUUCUCCAUGUGAAAUAAAUCCU